AAAUGAAAUUAUUAUAGCUUGCUACAAUGAACAGAAUGAUUGCUAAGGUGGAAAGAGCGCCUGCCAAGUGCGAGGCACUGGAUGGUGACUUUGAACCAGUGGCGGCCGCGCUUUGCGCGUUGAGUAUAUUUUCGCACGGUGUUACCCUUUUAACGAAAUUGAAUAUGGAAUCCAUUAUGUUCGCGGGCGUUGGAUCUGGGCACUUUUCCAAUUCCGCUACGACGCAGGUUUGAAGGCUGGUCAUAUCACUGUGAUAAAUCGGAGAUAAAAAAAUGGAAAGAAAACAUCAGUCGAAUCGAAUCAAUCCAGUUAUCAACGAGCGACAGUUGCUCAAAACCGGCAUACAAUGAUCGCCUUUGUUAUGCAAAUAUGUCUUGCAUAUGAAAUUGCGCUCUUAUGCAAUUGUACUUUGAUUGAACCGGCAAAAACUUCGCUAGCGGAAUCCGCUUAGGACGACUUUGUAAAGCUUUGAGUUUUCUAAUUUAGAAUAACGCAACGCCAUGAUAUGCAUUUUACAUCGAUCGAAAUAACCGAUAUUUUGAGACUAACGAUGAUGCUGCAAAUUAAUCAUUGGUCAAAGCUACAUAGGAUGGAAGAUGUACGGAUAUGAUACUAGAUUAUCAUUCUUUGAACCAUUAAAUUAUUCUGAUAGCAAUAGAAAGAGAUAUUCGUCGGGAAAUCUCUUGGAGCCAAGCUUCCUUGCACGCGAGGCCAAAACGCAUAAUCUACGGACUUUGUAUUCGUGUUAGUCAGCUUCCAAUCAGCAACAGCAUACGUAUUAUCUUUCUUCUUUGUUAUGUUUCUCUUACAGAAAAUACUCAGGGACCGAUAGAAUGCCGGCAAGCUAACUCGAUAGUAUUUCGAGGUCUUCUUUUCGACUGUGAUCCGCUAAUUGUCACGCGCAUCAUACCUCAGCAAUACCUGAAGUCAUUGUUUCUCCCUCUCUUACUUGGCGCUACAGCGUAGAAGACUCUUGAAUCGUUACGAUGUGAGUAAUACAGUUUUACCGCUUAUAUCCGAAGAACAAUGAGCAUAGUUUCAAAAGCGGACAAAUAUGUGACUAGAUAUGAAUCAUCGUAUCCAGAGAGAAGAUAAAGAACGUUAUAUUUGAUUGACAUUUAGGAUAACGAUAGAACGGUAGAAAAUUGUCAACAUUCCAAUUAUGUGUCUGCUAGAAUUUGACAAUUCGCGACAGAUUAAGAGGAUUUUCUUAGACAAAGUGAGAGAUUAGCCCGACUAUUUUAAUGCAAAUUUAUCUAACAAUAAGUCAAGAAUAUCUUUCUUAUUGUUUCACAGAGUCCCUUCAUUCGUCUUUUAAAUAAAAAAUUCAAAGUCUAUUACACGUAAUAUCAUUCACCAAACUUCAAAAAAUUUCGACAAUCAAAAUCAAUCAAUUUCGAGAAGAAUGACAUUAUAUAUGUAUGUAUAAUACAUCAAUAAAUAUGCGUUUAUAUUUUCUAA